rnacentral:rRNA from 1 species
AUUGAACGCUGGCGGCAUGCUUUACACAUGCAAGUCGAACGGCAGCGGGGAGGAUCUUGCUUCUCUGCCGGCGAGUGGCGAACGGGUGAGUAAUACAUCGGAACGUCUCGAGAAGAGGGGGAUAACCACCCGAAAGGGUGGCUAAUACCGCAUAAAUCCUGAGGAAGAAAGCGGGGGACCUAGGAAUAGGCCUAGCGCUUUUUGAGCGGCCGAUGUCGGAUGAGCUAGUUGGUGAGGUAAAGGCUCACCAAGGCGAAGAUCUGUAGCGGGUGUGAGAGGAUGAUCCGCCACAGUGGGAGUGAGACACGGCCCAGACACCGACGGGAGGCAGAAGUGGGGAAUUUUGGACAAUGGGGGGAACCCUGAUCCAGCCAUGCAGGGUGUAUGAAGCAGGCCUUAGGGUUGUAAAGUACUUUUGUUAGGGAAGAAAAGUCAGCUGUGAAUAAUGGCUGAUACUGACGGUACCUAAAGAAUAAGCACCGGCUAAUUACGG